GGCUCCUUCAGUUGACUGACUGAUCAAAGGCCAUCUUGUUUUAAAGCUGAUUAAAGGCUCUUUCAGAUGACUGCCUGAUCAAAAGCCAUCUUGUUUUAAAGUCGAUUAAAGACUUUUUUUUGUUGACUUACCGAUCAAAGGCCAUCAUGUUUGUCAUCGGAGUGGAUGGACUGAGGGUCCUUAUAGGUUACCCCUUGUUUAUUGUCGGACUGAGGGUUCUUGUAGGUUACCCCUCAUUUUUCGCAUGACUAAGCUCUUCGCAGACAUUUACUUGGUGAAAAGCGAGUAUGGCCUUUGGGAGUUUUUAUAGAUUAGCCUCUGCUUCUUAGUCACCAAGAUCUUGAGUUACAGAUCUACACACAAAAGAUGAGAGAGCUCGCCAGACCAGCUCUAGCUGGAUCUUUCGAUUUUUCAGUUAAAUCGAGCUUUGGAGUAAAAUAACAGGUGAUUAGAUUGGUAUUAUCCUAUUUUAGCUAGUUUGCUUCUCUUUGGCUUUUUUAGAUCAGCUCUGGGCUUCAUCGAGUUUUUACUUCGACUUUGAUCCUUCCUCUCAGCUGUUGGUCUUUCGCUUGAUAGCCCGAUUUUGGUUUGUUUGGAUUGGUUCUAUGAUGA
rnacentral:lncRNA from 1 species